UUCCGAAAUAAAUCAUUGAUUUUAACUGGACUUUGUGUUAAGGGGAGGAACUUUUGCAAUUAAAUAUCCUAUCUAGAAUGAUUUACUUAGUAAUUCAUCUGCUAUAUAACAUGCUGUAGCUUCAGAAUUUCAUUUGAAAACUUGUAUAGACGAGCAUGUUUAAUAAGAUUGGCACAUGCCAGUUUCAAAGUAUUCAGGAUGGCUUUUGAAACUUAAGAACAUGAUUCACUGCAUAGGGAACACUACAACACGCUAGAAAGAAGGCUGAACUUAAGGGGAAGUACCUGGGAUGAUAUAGAAGGAGAGGGAGAUGUUGGAGCACAUCCUGAAGUCAGAAAGAAAAGAUUCAAAUUGAGAUUAUAAAAUUACCUUCUGGGUCUUGAUUGAAAGUGCAGCAACCUCUGAGGUGACAACACUGACAAUUGUGCGG